GCCAGAUGCUAUACUAGGCAUGAUAGAAUAUAGCAAUGAGCAUGAUCAUUAUUUUUAUGGGCCAUUGUCUAGAGGGAAAACUGACUUAAAAUGAGCCAACAAUAGUAUGCGGUGUUGAUUAUAGGCUGUGUGCAUGACAUUUUACUGAUGAUAAAAUUGAAGCUUAAGCACGUCAGUUGCCUUGUUCAGGAUUGUAGAGCUGAUACCAGAGCCUCUUCUUAAAUCAAAGUCAUGAAGUCUGACUUCAAAGAUCCAGUUUUCCCCAUGUCACCAUACAGGUUUCCAAGAUCUCCUUUGGCCAAAAGUUCAGCCACUGCAUAUUCCUCUGUAUAUCUUUAUGGAGCCACAAAUGCUUCUGAAACAUCCACAGAGUAUACAUGACCUGGACACAAAGCUGCAUGAGUUGCCGCAGCAACGCAGUGCGUGCAGUGUUCGCGAAUGCCGGCGCCACGGGGCUCUGUGUUUAGAUAUAGUUGGCAGCUGCUGUACUGUGAUUUCAAGGAUGUUUCUCUAAAGGCUCUCCUUCCUGGACUAUCUCAAUUUUUGAAGAAUUCCACAAUUGGAGAGUCAGGCCCUAGGAUUUCUAGGAAGAUUGUGCAAUAAGGGAAAUGUCAGCAAUCUUAUUGUCUCCAAUGCUGUUACUUUAGUGGGGCUUUUUUGUUUUUUUUUCAAGUGACUAUGGUAAUAAUGACACAAAGGCUCAACCUUAUAUCAUAACUAAGAUUUUGCCACAGCCUGGCUUUAUCGCCUGUAACUUGCCUAACCUUAUUACCCAAAUGCAUUGUGAAGGGAACAUCCUUGCAUAACCAUGCUUCAGAAAUGGGAUCUGAGACCUGUUCCCCCAGUCCUGACUAAUGAAACCCUACAACUCACCUGGCUGGAGUCCUGGGCUACUACCCCAUCUCACCUUCUGCCUUGACCUUGCUGUAGGAAGCUUCGGCAGUAAAGUUGACAUUUAUUCUUUGGACUGAGGCAUUCAGGAUCCACUGCUAAAAUGCUAAUAUCCCUGGGAAAGAUGCUCCAGAGCAAAGGAACAUCAACUCAGUUCUACACCCCCAUCUCUGUCCUUCAUCCUGGGGUAGAUUCUGUUCAGCUGGCAUCCACAGUCAGGACAGAGUCUCAGACUACAAAGAGAAUCUCCUCUUCAAUCAGAUGAACAGGAUAUUUGGCAAAAACAAGCUGCUUCUGAGGAAAAGUGAGUUUCUUGGCAUGUGCCUUGUCAGUAUUACAAAGCUGAAAGUUAAACUUAUCUCCAUUUAUAGCAGCACACCCUGUUGCCCCAACAUCUUGGUCGUUUGCCUCUGCUAUUGUUGCUGGGGGUGGUGGGCAUGAGUCAGGAUUCCAGCCCGCAGGUUUUCCCAGGACUUUCUUACAGGCAAAAUCU